UACGAAGGGGGCUAGCGUUGCUCGGAAUCACUGGGCGUAAAGGGUGCGUAGGCGGGUCUUUAAGUCAGGGGUGAAAUCCUGGAGCUCAACUCCAGAACUGCCUUUGAUACUGAGGAUCUUGAGUUCGGGAGAGGUGAGUGGAACUGCGAGUGUAGAGGUGAAAUUCGUAGAUAUUGGGAAGAACACCGGUGGCGAAGGCGGCUCUCUGGACCGAGACUGACGCUGAGGCGCGAAAGCGUGGGGAGCAAACAGG
rnacentral:rRNA from 1 species